rnacentral:rRNA from 1 species
UACGUAGGGGGCAAGCGUUAUCCGGAUUUACUGGGUGUAAAGGGCGUGUAGGCGGGACUGCAAGUCAGAUGUGAAAACCACGGGCUCAACCUGUGGCCUGCAUUUGAAACUGUAGUUCUUGAGUACUGGAGAGGCAGACGGAAUUCCUAGUGUAGCGGUGAAAUGCGUAGAUAUUAGGAGGAACACCAGUGGCGAAGGCGGUCUGCUGGACAGCAACUGACGCUGAGGCGCGAAAGCGUGGGGAGCAAACAGG